CUGGCGGCAGGCCUAACACAUGCAAGUCGAACGGUAGCACAGAGAGCUUGCUCUCGGGUGACGAGUGGCGGACGGGUGAGUAAUGUCUGGGAAACUGCCUGAUGGAGGGGGAUAACUACUGGAAACGGUAGCUAAUACCGCAUAACGUCGCAAGACCAAAGAGGGGGACCUUCGGGCCUCUUGCCAUCAGAUGUGCCCAGAUGGGAUUAGCUAGUAGGUGGGGUAACGGCUCACCUAGGCGACGAUCCCUAGCUGGUCUGAGAGGAUGACCAGCCACACUGGAACUGAGACACGGUCCAGACUCCUACGGGAGGCAGCAGUGGGGAAUAUUGCACAAUGGGCGCAAGCCUGAUGCAGCCAUGCCGCGUGUAUGAAGAAGGCCUUCGGGUUGUAAAGUACUUUCAGCGGGGAGGAAGGUGUUGUGGUUAAUAACCACAGCAAUUGACGUUACCCGCAGAAGAAGCACCGGCUAACUCCGUGCCAGCAGCCGCGGUAAUACGGAGGGUGCAAGCGUUAAUCGGAAUUACUGGGCGUAAAGCGCACGCAGGCGGUCUGUCAAGUCGGAUGUGAAAUCCCCGGGCUCAACCUGGGAACUGCAUUCAAAACUGGCAGGCUGGAGUCUUGUAGAGGGGGGUAAAAUUCCAGGUGUAGCGGUGAAAUGCGUAAAGAUCUGGANGAAUACCNGGUGGCNAAGGCGGCCCCCCUGGACAAA
rnacentral:rRNA from 1 species